CCGCCACCCACCCUACCUCAGAUCGACCCCUCCACACGUCGCACCCUUCCUCCCUCGUCCCCAUCUCCUUGCCGCCACCGCGCCCCUCCCGAUCCAACCCGCGCGGCAACCCUUCCUCCUCACCCUCCGCCCCUACCUCGCUGCCCCCACCCGCUCCGCUCCGGGAUCCAUCCACCCAGUCAUCUUCCUCCUUCUCCUCUCUGUCUCUCGAUCCAACCCAAGCGCCGCCGCCGACCCUUCCCAACCCCGGCCUCGUCCAUCGUCGGCGACCCCUUCUCUCCCUCCCUCCCUCCACCUCCAUCAGCGGAUCCACUCGAGCAACAUCUUAGGCCGCCGUCAGAUCCACCCUCCUCGCGCUGGACGGAAACCCUAGCCGCCCGUCCAUGGCGACCCACCGCAGCACGCAAAGGCCUCGACGACGGUGGUAUGGUAGGAGCAACGGCGACCAGCGACGGCCAUGGCGACCCACCGCAGCCUCCAAGACCUCGACAACGGUCGGUGCUAUGGUGAGGUACAGCAACCAGCGACGGGACGACGCCUAAAUCCACUGGUACAGGAGAGCAGCCAUGGAAUGGAAGACAAGGCCGGGUAGGUGUCCUUUGCUGCUGUUGCUGUCAGUGGCUUCUCUGCCAUCCAUAGUCGUAGCCGUGGCUGGAUGCUUGGUCCUUCUGCUAUCGUCACUGGAGCUGCUACGGAUGUGCUUGUGGCUGGGUAUCGAGAUGCUGGGCUUUCAUGUUUCUUCGUGAGCAUCAGGACAAGGAAGUCGGAGGAAGAAUAGUUCUAGCUCAUUGGAGCUAGUUCUGAGAGUAAUGAAGCCCUUUAUGCUGCUCCUAUUUGUAUGUGUGUUAUAUGAUGUAGUAGAAUCUGGCUCAUGUGAUUGUACACUUGUGGAGCUUGUUAUCUGAUUGUAAACUUGAUGCUGAUCACAUUUGUAUGUGUGUUAUAUGAUGUAGCACUUUGAUGGUUGAUAAUAUUUGAAGUAUUUCGUGUGU